rnacentral:rRNA from 1 species
GGGAAAAGGAACUAAACAGGAUUCCCUUAGUAAUGGCGAACGAACAGGGAUCAGCUUGGGUUGGAAACCGGGGCUUCUGCCUUGGAUUGUGGCCUUUAGACAUACUACCAACGGCGGCGCGAGCGUAAGCCUCUUGGAACAGAGCGUCUACGUGGGUGAGAAUCCUGUGUUUCGCUUGAUGCCCGCCGUGCACGGUACUUGCUCUCAGAGUCACGCUCCUCGGAAUUGGAGCGUAAAUUGGGUGGUAAAUUUCAUCUAAAGCUAAAUACAGGCUCGAGACCGAUAGCAAACAAGUACCAUGAGGGAAAGAUGAAAAGGACUUUGAAAAGAGAGUUAAAAGUGCUUGAAAUCGCUGAACUGGAAGCGAAUGGAACUAGUGCUCUGGUUGAGAUUGCUGUAAAUGGCUGCGACAUCUGGGCUCUGGAACGCAAGUCCUUUGUCUGGCUUGAAGUAGUCGCUUGCAAUGUGUCUCAGCUUGAACAUCAACUUCUAUGCAUACGUGAGGAUGGGCCCUUG